rnacentral:rRNA from 1 species
UGCAAGUCGAACGCUUUGUGGUUCAACUGAUUUGAAGAGCUUGCUCAGAUAUGACGAUGGACAUUGCAAAGAGUGGCGAACGGGUGAGUAACACGUGGGAAACCUACCUCUUAGCAGGGGAUAACAUUUGGAAACAGAUGCUAAUACCGUAUAACAAUGACAACCGCAUGGUUGUUAUUUAAAAGAUGGUUCUGCUAUCACUAAGAGAUGGUCCCGCGGUGCAUUAGCUAGUUGGUAAGGUAAUGGCUUACCAAGGCGAUGAUGCAUAGCCGAGUUGAGAGACUGAUCGGCCACAAUGGGACUGAGACACGGCCCAUACUCCUACGGGAGGCAGCAGUAGGGAAUCUUCCACAAUGGGCGAAAGCCUGAUGGAGCAACGCCGCGUGUGUGAUGAAGGGUUUCGGCUCGUAAAACACUGUUGUAAGAGAAGAAUGACAUUGAGAGUAACUGUUCAAUGUGUGACGGUAUCUUACCAGAAAGGAACGGCUAAAUACGUGCCAGCAGCCGCGGUAAUACGUAUGUUCCAAGCGUUAUCCGGAUUUAUUGGGCGUAAAGCGAGCGCAGACGGUUAUUUAAGUCUGAAGUGAAAGCCCUCAGCUCAACUGAGGAAUUGCUUUGGAAACUGGAUGACUUGAGUGCAGUAGAGGAAAGUGGAACUCCAUGUGUAGCGGUGAAAAUGCGUAGAUAUAUGGAAGAACACCAGUGGCGAAGGCGGCUUUCUGGACUGUAACUGACGUUGAGGCUCGAAAGUGUGGGUAGCAAACAGGAUUAGAUACCCUGGUAGUCCACACCGUAAACGAUGAGUGCUAGGUGUUUGAGGGUUUCCGCCCUUAAGUGCCGCAGCUAACGCAUUAAGCACUCCGCCUGGGGAGUACGACCGCAAGGUUGAAACUCAAAGGAAUUGACGGGGACCCGCACAAGCGGUGGAGCAUGUGGUUUAAUUCGAAGCAACGCGAAGAACCUUACCAGGUCUUGACAUCCCUUGACAACUCCAGAGAUGGAGCGUUCCCUUCGGGGACAAGGUGACAGGUGGUGCAUGGUUGUCGUCAGCUCGUGUCGUGAGAUGUUGGGUUAAGUCCCGCAACGAGCGCAACCCUUAUUACUAGUUGCCAGCAUUCAGUUGGGCACUCUAGUGAGACUGCCGGUGACAAACCGGAGGAAGGUGGGGAUGACGUCAAAUCAUCAUGCCCCUUAUGACCUGGGCUACACACGUGCUACAAUGGCGUAUACAACGAGUUGCCAACCCGCGAGGGUGAGCUAAUCUCUUAAAGUACGUCUCAGUUCGGAUUGUAGGCUGCAACUCGCCUACAUGAAGUCGGAAUCGCUAGUAAUCGCGGAUCAGCACGCCGCGGUGAAUACGUUCCCGGGUCUUGUACACACCGCCCGUCACACCAUGAGAGUUUGUAACACCCAAAGCCGGUGGGGUAACCUUCGGGAGCCAGCCGUCU